AGAGUUUGAUCCUGGCUCAGGAUGAACGCUAGCGGCAGGCCUAACACAUGCAAGUCGAGGGGUAACAGGGAAAAGCUUGCUUUUCCGCUGACGACCGGCGCACGGGUGCGUAACACGUAUGCAACCUACCUCUUACUGGGGGAUAGCCCAGAGAAAUUUGGAUUAACACCCCAUAGUAUCACCAGUUCGCAUGUUCAGGUGAUUAAAGGUUACGGUAAGAGAUGGGCAUGCGCCCCAUUAGCUAGUUGGUGAGGUAACGGCUCACCAAGGCUACGAUGGGUAGGGGGUCUGAGAGGACUAUCCCCCACACUGGUACUGAGACACGGACCAGACUCCUACGGGAGGCAGCAGUGAGGAAUAUUGCGCAAUGGACGAAAGUCUGACGCAGCCAUGCCGCGUGCAGGAUGACGGCGCUACGCGUUGUAAACUGCUUUUAUAUGCCAAGAAACCUUCGGACGUGUCCGAAGCUGACGGUAGCAUAUGAAUAAGCACCGGCUAACUCCGUGCCAGCAGCCGCGGUAAUACGGAGGGUGCAAGCGUUGUCCGGAAUUAUUGGGCGUAAAGGGUGCGUAGGCGGGAGCCUAAGUCUGGGGUGAAAUCUUGCCGCUUAACGGUAAAAUGGCCUUGGAUACUGGGUUUCUUGAGUGCAGAAGAGGCAGGUGGAAUUCGUGGUGUAGCGGUGAAAUGCUUGGAUAUCACGAAGCACAUCAGUGGCGAAGGCGGCCUGCUGGUCUGCAACUGACGCUGAGGCACGAAAGCGUGGGGAGCGAACAGGAUUAGAUACCCUGGUAGUCCACGCCCUAAACG
rnacentral:rRNA from 1 species